AUUGAACGCUGGCGGCAGGCUUAACACAUGCAAGUCGAGCGGGGUGAUGGUGCUUGCACUAUCACUUAGCGGCGGACGGGUGAGUAAUGCUUAGGAAUCUGCCUAUUAGUGGGGGACAACAUCUCGAAAGGGAUGCUAAUACCGCAUACGUCCUACGGGAGAAAGCAGGGGAUCACUUGUGACCUUGCGCUAAUAGAUGAGCCUAAGUCGGAUUAGCUAGUUGGUGGGGUAAAGGCCUACCAAGGCGACGAUCUGUAGCGGGUCUGGGAGGGAGAUCCGCCACACUGGGACUGAGACACGGCCCGUACUCCUACGGGAGGCAGCAGUGGGGAGUAUUGGACAAUGGGGGGAACCCUGAUCCAGCCAUGCCGCGUGUGUGAAGAAGGCCUUAUGGUUGUAAAGCACUUUAAGCGAGGAGGAGGCUCUUUUGGUUAAUACCCAAGAUGAGUGGACGUUACUCGCAGAAUAAGCACCGGCUAACUCUGUGCCAGCCGCCGCCGGAA
rnacentral:rRNA from 1 species